CCCGCCACUAUGCCUGUCUGUGCCAGUGAUUGGCAUAUUCCAGUGGGGACACAAAGUUAUUCAGCUCUAGGAAGCAGAGAUGCUCCAUCACAGUGGGCAGCUCUGUGCCGAAAGACCUGGAACAAGC
ensembl:snoRNA small nucleolar RNA SNORA65